UACGUAGGGUGCAAGCGUUAUCCGGAAUUAUUGGGCGUAAAGAGCUCGUAGGCGGUUUGUCACGUCUGCUGCGAAAACUGGAGGCUCAACCUCCAGCCUGCAGUGGGUACGGGCAGACUAGAGUGCGGUAGGGGAGAUUGGAAUUCCUGGUGUAGCGGUGAAAUGCGCAGAUAUCAGGAGGAACACCGGUGGCGAAGGCGGGUCUCUGGGCAAUAACUGACGCUGAGGAGCGAAAGCGUGGGGAGCGAACAGG
rnacentral:rRNA from 1 species